UGAAGUGUGAUGACGUAGAUUAGCAUUGUUCUCUAUGAGUCUCCUGUGUUCAGAAGUGUGGGUUUUGGAAGGUGAUUGGACCAUGAUGUGGUGCUCUACCCACCAGGGGGUUCUUCCACUGCUAAGGUCCUGGCUGAAGACACUGGGCUGAGAGCCACCCAGUGGCCAGGGGCACGCGUGGGGGUGGUGUGUUCUCCUGACCUGGACUUGGAGUCUCAGCCGUGGACGCUCCAGCUUCAAUGAGUGCAGCCCAAGCUCCUGAUCCAGAAGCCUUUCUCCAGAAGUUUAAAAACAUCUCCCUCACUUGAUAAUUGGUAGAAGAAAAGGUGAGAAAUCUGGGACAUGAGGUCAGUUCAGUGCUUUGCCCGGGGCACAUGCCCUGUAGGGGGUGGGGUCACAAUUUGAAUGCAGGCAGGACCAACCUUCAAGGCCAGUGCCUCUGGCCCUCAGGAGCUCAGCGUUGCCUCUGUUCCCCUUCUGCGGUGCUGUGGCGACUCCUUCCCUGCAUCGCCAGCCCUGCCUCCUCUCUGGAGCUACAGCCCUGCAUCUGCAGCAAUCUGUCCACGUUCCCAUGAGGAGCCCUUUGGCAUCUGGCCACCACCUCUGAGACUGGGCUCAUGCUCCCCGCCGAAGUCUGGACUUAGUCAUUUCCGCUUUAAACCAUGACUACUCUUUUUUUUUUUUUUUUGGAGGAACCGGGGAUUGAAC